GACGAACCGAGCGAACGUUGUUCGGAAUCACUGGGCUUAAAGGGCGCGUAGGCGGGCUGUCAAGUCUGGGGUGAAAUCCCGCGGCUCAACCGUGGAACUGCCUCAGAUACUGACGGUCUCGAGGGAGGUAGGGGCGAGCGGAACUGAUGGUGGAGCGGUGAAAUGCGUUGAUAUCAUCAGGAACUCCGGUGGCGAAGGCGGCUCGCUGGACCUCUUCUGACGCUGAGGCGCGAGAGCGUGGGGAGCAAACCGG
rnacentral:rRNA from 1 species